rnacentral:lncRNA from 1 species
AAAAAAGAGAGUAGUAAGUAACUAGUGUAUAAUCUGAAAUUUUACUUUUCUAUUAUAGAAGGCUGAAAGAUUUUUUUUUUUUUUUUUUUAAGGAAGAAAGAUAAAAAGAGAAACGUGGGACACCAAGACACCAACAAAGAAAACCAGAAAAAGACAAAGAAGAGACAGCAAUACACCAAAGCAGUGGAGUAACGACUGGUGAGAUAGGGAGUGGCAGAAUGCUUCAUACUAGAGGACAAUGAGUGUCCACUGACAGGACAGGUAGAAGGAGGCAAGUUUGGGGCCUUUGGAUCACGCGUCAGAGCCAGCUGUGAUUUCAGUGGAACAGGAAAGGAAAAAGCAAAAACUGUGUAGGAGAAACUUACUGAAAGCAAAUUGGAUAAACAAUAUGAGCUCCGAGUGUGCUUUUCAUCGCCCACAAGAGGAGGCGAAGCAGCCUGCUUCAGAGAGUGGAAAGUUUUGCCUGGUUUGGAAGACUGGUGAAGUUAAAGCUGGGAUAAGAAUGCACUGAAAGCACCUAUACAAGACAAAGAAAUAUUACUGUGCUGGCAAAAUGAUUCUUGAGAACUCCUGGCCCAAUUUAUGAGAGACAAAUUCCAAUGAAGGGUAAUAAUAAUGGCAAGGCUUUUAAUAGUCCAUUGAGCCCUGUUUUGCAGGAGCUGGGCAAACACUGAGAGCUCUAAGGCUGCUCUACAUUUGGCUGAAAUUAAAGGUGCACAUAGUGUUGGGGAUUUGUUUUCCGAUCUAUAGAAUUCUAUGAAAACUGUAAUUCAGCCAUGCCCGGGGAAAUGUCUCUAUUAAUGCUCCAUUCAUAUUUUAAAAGUCAGUCCAGUCCUUGAGUUUUCAAUGUUCCCUUACAACAUCUGUUUACUAGCAAGUAAAACCAUGCUCUAAGCAUGGGGUCUGAACAUUCAAAGGUUUUAAAAACAAGCCAUUACAGAACCAGAAAUCUAAUCCUUCAGUUAAUCAACAGCAAUAUUUGAAAAGGGAGGAGCUAUUGGAUAUCUACAUUGCCUCAGGUAAGGACCAGGAAUAAUGCACAUCCAGAAACGAAAUGUGUGUAAAUCACUGCAAAAUUGACCAAAGCUGCAUUUCGUGGCAUUCAAAAUACAAGAAAGAUCUGAUGGGGGUGAAGGGAAGCUGUUCAGCUGCUGAAAAAUACU